UUUCUGGUGUAACAAUUGCUAACAUAUCAACCAGAGACUAAUCGAACCAUCAAUUCGCUACUAGGUGGUUAAGCGGAAGGGGUUGAGUAUACCCCCCCUUUUUAGCCCUCCGGGGCAACAAUGCUAAUUGCAUGGAUUCCUCCCGGGAGGGAGCUUAACAUGCAGCAGCCUAUAAGACGAUGUUCCGAUGUCGUUGGCUGUCCACAGACCAAAUAGCGUUGGCCAGGGGUAUAUCCCUGGUUUUGAUAUGGUCGAGUCUUGCCUGCAAUAGGUACGGUUCUCUCACUGUUCCCUGUGGGACCCUCUACAGGGCUUGGGGGCCUUAAGUACAGACGCUAGUAGCUGGUUCCUGCCGAAGUUUCGUAAGUUCUUCCGUAGGAGCCCCCCUUCAUAUAAGCCUCUACUAACAAUUUCAAUAGCCUCAGGAUAGCAGUAACGUUUUCAGUUUUAUGAGGUAAAGCGAAUGAUUAGAAACCUUGGGGAUGAAACAUCCUUAAUUUAUUCUCAAACUUUAAAUAUGUAAGAAGUCCUUGUUACUUAGUUGAACGUGGACAUUUGAAUGCACCGUUACUAGUGGGCCAUUUUUGGUAAGCAGAACNGGCGAUGCGGGAUGAACCGAACGUGGGGUUAAGGUGCCGGAAUGUACGCUCAUCAGACACCAGGGGGGAGACUUGUGGUGUCGGGCUGGAGGGGGGGGGAGAGGCCUCUCCAGCGUUAGUCUGCUCAGGGCGAGGUCUUUGACCUGUUAGGGGUCGGUGGUCGCUCCGCGAUGGCCUACCCUCCGCUGUCCCCUCCUGCGGGGGCAGCUCACAGAUCAAGCAAAGGCCGGCGGCAGGAUGCCGUUGGAGAUAUGAUCGGCCCCUGGA
rnacentral:rRNA from 1 species